UUUGAGCUCGCAAUGCACAUGCGCGUUCGGGCUGCUGUCGCGUCACAAACGUUUGGCCUCACGUCGCCUGAGGAGCCGCUUCCGUCGCAGCUGCAAUAAUAUGGGCAUGGCGCUCGCUCCUGUCGGUUUCCGUGCUCCUCUCUCAGUCAGCAUCAGCACCAGCGUCUUUUUUCUUCUCUCCCCCAUCCUCCCCGGGAAAGAGCAAAGGAGCAGUGCGCCCAUUCCUCCUCAACCUGGAGUCGCCGACACGGUGCCUCGCCAUCUACCGGAGGAAUGUGUCUACACCGGGGAGGAUGCUGCGUUUGAGGCUGACACGGAAACUUCCCCUUUUUUAUAAAAAAAAAAAAAGGCUUUAUGGGUUGCUGACACCAUCAGAGCCUCCCACGGCCAGCAAGGCACCAUUGAACACAACCAGGGACAUCUGAGGCACGAUACACAACUCCAGGCCGAGCUCGUCUCUGCCCCCGGCCACAUAGACGUGUCCCAGGUAGACGGUGCAGCCGGCGUUCUCCCGGGGACUCCGCAUGUGGGCACAUAUCGACCAGCAUCGGACCUUGUCUUCUCCACCCACCGCGUAUAUCUUCCCACCCAGCGAGCCCACGGCCACGGAGCCUCGACUGUUGACCAUGCGCGCCGCAGAUCUCCACUCGUUGUGCUCGGGACAGAACUGUUCCACCAAGCAGGACGGGUCGUCCUGGGUCCAUCCCCCGACUACCGAAGCAGAACAGGCAGUUGGAAGAUUGUGAUGAAGACUAUUCAUUAUGUUUCCAAGGUCAGGAAUCAACUGUCACCAUCACCAAGUCUGAUUAUUGACUGAAUAAGGGUCUGCCUGUUUGGAGAAAGAAGGAAGAUGUUUGCUCAGGAUAAGGACACUGCUGUGUGAUGAAUGGAGAUGUAGAGCUGCGGUUGCACACCUUCAUGUGAGAUGCUCUAAUCUCCUGUCUGUUACACUCCAGCAGGGAUUUACCGAUGACUGCACUUCACCUCCUGUCUUCUGAGAGCUGGAAACAAUUCAAGGGUGGCUGUGCUGGUAUUCACCCAUCUUAUGGCUCGUACUCCACUUUUUUACAUUUCAGAUGCCAGUGGUGAUAUGUGAGGAUCUGAAUCUUGGUCUCGGUGGGAAGAAAUCUAAAUAGAAAUACUCGGUAUCUUUUAUUGUGACAAAUUCCAUACAAGAGAAUUUAUAUAAAAAAAUGCCACAUAUUGUAUGAAUUUGUAGUUAGAAAUAAGCAACAUUUGUCCAAUGUAAGCAGUUGCUAAAUGAUAAUGUCAUUAUCUUGUUGUCUAAUAGGUCGGAGGCACUGCUACAAUGGUGUCUUGGGAACCAGGGUCGACCACAGUAACAUAAUCACCUCUCUUUCAUGAUUGGACAUCCAUCACACUACCGGACUCAACAGCAUUUUACAGUUUGAGGUUACAAGCACAGAGUCAAAUAUACUGUAGAUAUGACUUUAUACUCAAACAUGAGUUCCUCCACCCUGCAUACAGGUUCUGGGAUUAUAACAGUAAAAAGUAUAGAAAUUAAUUAAAAUAUUCCAUGACCUACAACUAUUUUUUAUGUUUAUAUUCCUUAUUCUUUAUAUUUUUGCAUUUGUUUCACAAUGUCCCUCUUAUUUCCACUCGCACA